GCCCUGAAGGAUAGCUCAGCCGGUAGAGCACGAGAUUCUGAAUCUUAGAGUCAUGGAUUCAAGUCCCAUGUUGGGCG